CACCACACUUAGCCAAAGCGACAGCAGCUGCCGAAAGACAAAGCAAGGAUCCAGAUGGAGUUUCACUCUGGUUGUCCAAGCUAGAGUGAAAUAGCCUGAUCUUGGCUCACUGCUACCUCUGCCUCCCGGGUUCAAGCGAUUCUCCUGCCUCAUCCUUCU
rnacentral:lncRNA from 13 species